UUGAAAGGAAAGACGAGGUUCAGUAGUUAUGGGUCAGUCACCACUUCUCCUGUGCCAAUUCACAAACUACCCAUGACUUCACCUGGGCCCACAUUGUACAUUAGGAGUUGUUUGGGAAUUUUGGGAGAGGGGCUGGGUGGAAUCUCAGCUAGGACACCAUUGGAACAGUCAAGGCUAAUGCACCAAAUACAAAUUGCAAUGAACUGCGUGCCAAACCACAGAAGGGCAGAGGUCACCAAAGGAUAAAACACAAAAGCAAAACUUUCCUUAAAAAAUAAGAUUAAAUUGCUUGCAUCUCAAGGUCAACCGAUGUGGUUCCAAGGAAAAGAUAACAGCAGGAUGGACUGAAUCAUGAAGCAAGGUUUAAAUAUUAGCCAAGGAAUUGUAAAAUGCAAUCUGGGGGAAACCGUUUACAGUCACCUACCUUGGCGGAGAAUCGACUUUUCUCCUCGCCCUCCCUUGCGGCCUAACAACUUGGAUUGGUGCGGCCUUUCCCGGAGACGGCCCAGAGCUUCAGCAGCAGGCACGGCGGGACUUUCAUCGCAGAGCCAGAAGAAAGACUCCGACCGCCGGCCUGCUGACUUUAACAUCGUGAAGCUUCUAGCAGCAGGCGUGGAGCGGACUUUACCAUCACGGAGCCAGGGAUCCCUUGCCGGGGAUCACCAGAGAAGAGCUCUGACCGCUGGCCUGAGGCCUAUAACAUCGCGAAGCCGCGGUCUCCUAUUCGGGCACUCCAAGUGUGUUCCAUCCGUCCCGACGUCAGAGUUUUGAUCAUCCCGACGAGAGGGCCUGUACAUCGGGCCAUCCGUAGGGUCAAAGCCCCAAACACGGGUGAACAAAAGGAGGAAGACUGACUGAAACUUUAUUGCCUUCCAUCACGGUGAUCUCUGUGGUGGAUGUUUAUGUUAAGCUUUAUUGUUCUUUUAAUUGUGUUGUGUUCUUUUAAUUGUAUGGCUGCAUGGUAACUCAAAUAUCACUGUACCCAAUGGUGCACAUGACAAUAAAUGUGAAUCUGAAUCUGAAAGUGAAGGAAUCCCAACUUACUCCACAAACCAUCCGAACAUUCCCUGUACAGGCUCCGGGAAUGACACAGAGCAAAUCAAACUUGUGGUGAAAAGGCGAAAUGUUACCAUCCACUGGUGUGCCUGGAGAUCAGUGGUCCUAUGAACCAUGUGCAUACAGGGUAAAGGAAGCCUCACCUGAAACCCCUGUAAAAAGGACUGUGAUAAAGCUCAGAGUGAAGAUGUAGAGAGGAAGAAUGAUGAACAACAGCCAGGGAGGAUUGAACAGGAAAUUAGGACAACCAGCACCCAUGGCAACAUUGGGUUGAAUCCAUCCUCUAUAAGAGACACCUUCUCUAAGAGCCUUUGAUCAAGUCCACCAUGUGGAUCAACUAGUAGAGCCACUCCCUUUCCGUGCUAUAAACCUUGAUUCCAUCCUGACCUCUUGUGCUGUCUGCAUGGCAUUUACAGAUUCCCCAAUGGACAUGUGGGUUGUCUCCUGCUGCUCCAGUUUCCCUCCCAUAAUCACAGAUUUGUGGGUUGAGAGGUUAAUUGGCCACGGUAAAUUUCCCCGGUGUGUAGGUGUGUGGUAGAACCAGAGUGAAUUUAUGAGAAUGUGGAAAGAAUAAAAAAUCGGAUCAAUGUAGGAUUAGUACAAAUGAGUAGUUGAUCAAUAAGGUAGGGACUAAAUUGUCACCUUAAUGUUCCAGGCUACUGGUGAGAUAAGGUGAGGGUAAAAGAGGAAGGGGAGUUGUUUUAUAAAUUAAGUAGUACAUCACGCUAGUAAUUUGACGUGACCUUACUGAUGGUUUGUUCAGCGAAACCAUUAUGGAUGGGAAUGAGACAUAAAAAGGGGACAGGGCAGGCCCACAAGUUAAAGUUCUAAAUUGGGGCAUGGCCAACUUAAGUGAUAUUAGGAACUCACAAAUGUUGAUUUGAGUAGAUUGUUUGCGGGAAAAUUGACGUCUGAAAGUCAGAUGUUUUUAAAAGUGAGAUAGUAAAAGUUUGAGGUACGCAUGUUCCUGUUAAAUGAAGAGCAAGGCAGGUAGGAGUAUGGAACGCUGGAUGGCAAGAUAAAUAAAAGUUCUGGAUGGGGAAAAAGGAGAUUUGGGUCAGAUACAGGCAGCUGGAAUCAAGGGCAUCCCUGGAGGAGUAUAAGGGAUAGAAGAGCAUAUUUAAGUAUGAAAACAGGCGGGCAAUAAGGUGUCAUGAGAUAGCACUGGCAGAUAAGAUUAAGGCGAAUCCAAAGAGAUUUAAUGUACACUAAGUGAAAAAGGGUAGCUAUAGAGAAAAUAGGACCCCUCAAAAAACAAAACGGUCAUCUACUCUGGAGCCGCAGGAGAUUGCUAAGGUACUCAGUGACUAUUUCUCCUCUGUUUUUACCUCGGAGAACGAUAUGAAGACUAAGGAACUUGGGAAAGUUAAUGGAGAUAUCAAGGGCAUCCCAUGUUAGUCAGGGAGCUGCUGGACAUCUUAAGAUGUUUGAGGAUGGAUAAAUCUCCCAGGCCUGAUCGGAUAUUUCCAAGAAUACCGUGGGAAGCGACAAGAAAAAUAGUGCAGGAGCCCUGGCUGAUAUAUACGAAUCAUUGUUAGACACAGUGAGGUGCCGGAUGACUGGAAGGUGGCUGAUGUUUGUUGUGCCUCUAUUUAAGAAGAAUUGCAACCUUCACGUGCAACCUGGCGUGCACAAAUUAGUAAGUUUUUAGUAAGGCAUGUUUAGUAAGUUUGCAAAUGACACCCAAAUAAGUGGUAAUGUGGACAGUGAAGAUGGUUAUUAAAAAUUACAGCAAGAUCUUGAUCAGCUGGGUAAGAUGGCCAUGGAAUGGAAAAAUAACUCUAACUUGGAUAAAUGUGAGGUGUGAAUUUUGGGAAGUCAAACCAGUGAACCGUAGGUCCCUGGGGAGUGUUGUAGAGCAGAGGUGAAAGGAGAGAUGGGUGCAUAUCCAGAUGAGGCACAGGGAAGAGAGGAGGGGGGCAGAUGGGCGGGAUGGGGGAAGAAGGGGGUGUUCAUGGGUUAGACAUAUAACAUUUCAGAAUUCAAUAUUUAGAUGUUGGGAAGUUAUGUUACAGCUGUACGGGAUGUUGGCAAGCCCACACAUGGAGCAUUGUGUUCAGUUUAGGUCACCUUGUAAAGAAAAAGUGCACAGAAAUGAUUUACAAAGGUGUGGCCAGGACUCGAGAGGCUAAGCUAUAAAAUCAUGAAGAGAAUAGAUUGGGUGAAUACACCGUCUUUUCUCAAUUACGUUUAAAAGACAUUUGGACAGGUACAUGAAUAGGAAAAGUUGAGGGAUAUUGGCCAAACACAGGAAAACGGGACUAGCUGAUACGGCAUAUUUGACAUCGACAGGUUGGGCCAAAGGGCCAGGUUCUGUGCUGCAGGGCUCUAUGACAAUCUGACAGUAACUGCUGCUGAACGGCUCGUUUGCAGACACAAAGGACUUUCUGCUUCAGCACAGGAGAGCAUCUAUCCCACACAGUCAGACACAAUGACCCUGACAAACAAGACCACCAGUGGUAGAGGCCACUCCCAUUCCCAAUCCAACAGACUUCAAACCAGAAGUACACAUUCACAUUCCUCUCUCUACAAGGCAAGAUAUCCUUUUUCUGCAGCAGUUUAUCACAAAGAAAAAUGGGAACGCCAAGCAUCAGUGGUUACAACUGACCCGGAAACCCAGCACUCCAGUGUCAAGCUACCCAUAGGCUUCUUACUUUUUGAAAGGGUCACAUCGGGCGAGUGAGUGCACUGGUAUUAUACAGGUGUGUAGAUUGACACUAGAGAUGCUGUUGCCAGGGAAACGGCUGAACUGCAACAUUGAAGUGUAACAAAAAGGCACGCAUGUAGUCUGGAGAAAGGCUAAGCGAGCAGCUGUCGCACACCUUAAACACAAGAAACAGGUCAAAUACCGUCACUCAGCACCAGAGAUGGAAUGCCAGGUGGAAAUGAAUUUGCAAAUAGGUUUCCCAUGGAUAUGGCGGCAUGUAUUUUAAAUAUAAUGCCGCAGUCUCCCGCAGGUUCACUAUUGCCUUGUCUUGUAAUUGUGCAGACGAGUCUUCUCCCCACUUUCCCUGCCCCGUGUUCGAUCCCGACAGAAAAUAUUUCAAGUUAGGUAGACGGGGUGUUGAAAUGGGACAGUGACACAUCCUCACACACACCCUCCGACAAAAAAUACGUGUGGAAUUCUAGACUUUCAAAACCCCAGCUGAGGUGGAACCGAUUUCGCUCUCCUUCAACAAUGUUCUCGCCGGUUUUACUGGCGCUUUGUCAUUUUGGCACCUGGAUACCACUGCAGGGCUACUGAACACACAAAUAAAAAUUCUCCCGGCUCCUAAAGAGCCACACGGCGGUCUCGUGUUUCCAAUGCCGACACUCAGUCUGUGAAGGCAUCUGUGAGAGGCAAGGGGCAGGGCCCGGUGGGAGAGACGGGAGAAAGUGCAAUAAUCCCCGCCAGUAUUUUCCAAGCCUCUCUACCUCCAGUCUCGGCAUAAGCU